rnacentral:rRNA from 1 species
UACGUAGGGUGCAAGCGUUGUCCGGAAUUAUUGGGCGUAAAGAGCUCGUAGGCGGUUCGUCGCGUCGGCUGUGAAAACCCGGAGCUCAACUCCGGGCCUGCAGUCGAUACGGGCGGACUCGAGUUCGGCAGGGGAGACUGGAAUUCCUGGUGUAGCGGUGAAAUGCGCAGAUAUCAGGAGGAACAGCGGUGGCGAAGGCGGGUCUCUGGGCCGAUACUGACGCUGAGGAGCGAAAGCGUGGGGAGCGAACAGG